rnacentral:rRNA from 1 species
GGCUUAGAGUUUGAUCAUGGCUCAGGAUGAACGCUGGCGGCGUGCCUAACACAUGCAAGUCGAACGGAGAUUAACGCUGAAUUGAUAAUUAGCUUGCUAAGAGGAUUUUCUUGUUAAUCUUAGUGGCGGACGGGUGAGUAACACGUGAGCAACCUGCCUUUCAGAGGGGGAUAACAGCUGGAAACGGUCGCUAAUACCGCAUGACAUAUUCGGAUGGCAUCGUCUGAAUAUCAAAGGAGCAAUCCGCUGAAAGAUGGGCUCGCGUCUGAUUAGAUAGUUGGUGAGGUAACGGCUCACCAAGUCGACGAUCAGUAGCCGGACUGAGAGGUUGAACGGCCACAUUGGGGCUGAGAUACGACCCAGACUCCUACGGGAGGCAGCAGUGGGGAAUAUUGCACAAUGGGGGAAACCCUGAUGCAGCAACGCCGCGUGAAGGAAGACGGUUUUCGGAUUGUAAACUUCUUUUCUUAGUGAAGAAGAAAGUGACGGUAGCUAAGGAAUAAGCAUCGGCUAACUACGUGCCAGCAGCCGCGGUAAUACGUAGGAUGCAAGCGUUAUCCGGAUUUACUGGGUGUAAAGGGAGCGCAGGCGGGACUGCAAGUUGGAUGUGAAAUGCCGGGGCUCAACCCCGGAGCUGCAUCCAAAACUGUAGUUCUUGAGUGGAGUAGAGGCAAGCG